GGAGGGGUGGUCGAGUGGUUGAUGGCUCCGGUCUUGAAAACCGGCGACCCGCAAGGGUCCGUGGGUUCGAAUCCCACCCCCUCCG
rnacentral:tRNA from 2 species